AUCUGAAGCACCUGACUUUUUUGGGUUUUAAUUCGUGUUUUUUUGUCAGUCUCUUCUGGGUUUUGUAUUUUGAUGCUCGGUUGGUUUUUGUGGUUUUGUGUUUUAAGAGGCAAUUCUGGAUCAGCUGUCUUUUGUCCAAAUGACAUCGUCAGGUUGUUUGCUCGACAGUCGACACAGAGAGAAACAAAAAGAGAAGAAGGCACAGAGACCCAUUUCCUAUUUGGUCUCCAAUACCAUUUUUACAAACCUCCAGCCAUUGAAUUCCCAUCCAAUCCAGUUUGCCAUUUUGCCAAUUUACGAUUCUAAUUCGCCUUAGUUUUAGGGAAUGAGUUUUCUCCUACGGGGUUUUGAGUUCAAGUCCCAGUUUGCUCUUGGGAUUUUCAUUUUGGAGUUUAUGUUGGAUAAAAUUCCUUUGAUCCCUUUGUUUCUUUCAUAUGGGUGAAAUUUUGAAGUUUCUUAGCAAGCAAAUCCCCUAAUGCUGCAAUCCAAUUUCUCCCUAAAUCAUCAUCAACAUAGAUUACAAUUACCUCUCUUCAUCCAUAGUAAUCAACCAUAUCGGCUAUUGCAGCCAUCUGAAACAAAUCGUUCUGAGUAGUCCUAACAAAAUAUGGGAACUGAAGUGAAGACAGGGUGGCAUCUGUUACUGCAAAUGACAAUAGAGGAAUAACUUCAUCUUAUCAAUCUUUAGGAAGAUCAUAAUAGGAAGUGCUGAAAACAAAAACAGGGAAAAAGGUUCCAAGAUCCAACAAGUUUCGUUUUCAAUCUGACUCAUCUUUGUUAUUAUUUAGUAAAUUGUCACUGGUUUCCAUUAGUAGAAGAUAUCAGUUACCAUUUUCCAGCAAACCAUGUUGUUAUCUUAUUUAUGUUGUAUGAAUUCUUGAUAUCAUUAUUAAAAUCAUACCUCACAAAUCAAUAUAGAUGGGUCCUUCUAUACCUUUUUAUGUAUGUGGAGAGCAGCUUUCUUCUGAAGGUUAAAUUCAUUGUCUGACAUUUCCAUUUGCCUUAUUGUGCUGGCCAAAUAAAGGAGGUACUUCUAAGUUAGAGUGAAAGAUCAGUUGAUUAACCAUUGAGUUAAGAAGAAAGGGGCCUAGGUUCUGGACCGUAUUGUGAUCACUAGUUUGUAAAACCCCCUACUCCUUGCUGCAGGUUGCUGAUAAACUGUUUGCUGCAAAAAACUACCUUCCAAAAGCCUUACUUGAAAUCACGAGCGUGGACAUGUUUAAAUCAUUAGGGUUUCAUUGCUGUAUCUUUUCUCAAGUCUGCUGAAAUUUGCCAAUCAUCUUAAAAACUAUAUUGCAGCACAGUGUCGUUGGUUAUCACAACGGUGGCCUUUGCCUCAAGGAUCGUAAUCUCAUUGAAAGUCUUUUCCUUGAGGGUGAUGUUCAAAUUCUGUGCACAACAAAUACUCUUGCUCAUGGAGUCAACCUACCAGCACAUACAGUAGUCAUAAAAUCAAGUAAUCAACACAACACUUGUAAGUUGGGAUUAUGGGAUUAAAUGUUGUUUCUGAUCAUUCAUCCACUCUUGAGACGGGACAGGGAUUGGUGUGAAUGAGCCUCCAUGGAAGAGCUGAUAUAUUGUUGUUGGGAUUGUAAGUAUUUGAAGUAUUCCAAGUAGCUGUAUAAGUUGGGAUUCUGGGAUUGAAUCCCAAUAGCUGAAGUAGCUUUACACCUUUCUAUCAUCUCAUCAAACAAUGUCCUCGCUGAAAUCAUAUUCCCUACACGAGUAAGAGAAGAAAACAUUCUAGUCCAUGCAAAACCAUCUCUCUCAGGCAUUUGAUCUAACACCUUAUGGGCUUUACCAAUUUGUCCCAGCUUCGAAUACAAAGCAGUCUGAACAAACAUAUGUGAAUCAAACUCACUGAAAUGGAUGGAAAUCAAGGCACAAGCCUUGGUCAAAGACGGAACCGUACAACUGGUAGGGAAGACGCUGUUCCUCAACAUCUUGAUGUACCAGCCUAAACCCUAAAAUGGGUGUUUGCUCGAGAUGCAAUGUGCACAAGAACCUAAUGGCUCUUGAGAAAAAAAACAACCAUAGAAACAAGUCAAAAAAGAAAACCCAAAUCAGAUCAACCAAGAAAAGUGAACUGAUGAUGCCUAUUUCACAAAGAGAGCCUGUCGUCGCCGAUCGAGAUGUUGGUUUAUCGGUCGAUUUCCGGCUUCUCUCUGGAGAUACUCGAGAGCUUCAUCAGUCUGAUGACUCGGCUAAACGCCGGGUGCAAAUAAGGUUCUUGGAGUACUUGGGUUUUCUGCUUGGAAUUGAAGGGCUUGAGGGAAACGAAGGCGUGCCUAUGGAUUUGAAUGUUGCUUUGACGUCAUCCUUGAUUUCUUGUUGAGCGCGACGGCGCUAGUUGAAUUUCUAGGCUUUGGCAUUGUUCCACAGCGCGAAUCGAAAGUUCGUGGGCGGGUGGUUCUGAAGCGGGUUGUGGGUAGGGUUCGGGUUCACCGGUGGCGCGAAAAUGAGGCACGAAAUCGAGAGAGAUAGAGAGAGCGCUUUGUCCUUGGUUUGAUGAAGUAGCAAUUCGAAGAAGAAGAAGAAAGAAAGAAAGAAUCAGUGAAGUGAAUCAAUUGUGAGAAAGAAAAGAAUUCGAAAUCAGUUGGAAGAAGAAGGUUAACUCCAAAAAAAAGUUUUUUGUUUCGGAAGUACCGCUUUUACCCUUCAAAAGUACAAGCUUGUUUACGGAAUUACUAUUGCCAGAUAUGAAAAUUGGGUCGACCUUAAAUUGUCAGGUGCCAUUUUGAUAUUUUUCAAAGUACAGGUAUGAAAAUUAAUAGUCUGGAAAAGUUCAGACACUGUUUGGAUGAUUUUCCCUUAUCAAAAUCAGUAUUAUGCCACUACAUUAACUUCUUUCCAGCUUGUUUAUUUUUAUGCCCUAAUUGCCUUAGAGCAUUCCUCAUUGUAGGUGUUGCCCAUUCUUUCGGGAUUAUGGCAUUACACUCUUUAUUCCCAUACCAAAUCUCUUCAAAACGGAAUCAUCUUGAACCCCUCUGAUUCCGAAUUUGCUUAGUACUGAUUUUCACAAGUAAAGGACAAUGAUCAGAUUUAUUGUGAUUCAUUGUUAAAACCCUAUUGAAUGGGAAGCGACUUCUCCAUUCUGUAGAUUGAAAACUUCUAUCUAGACGCUCCUUUGUGAACUUGUUUGCCCACGUACAUAAAUCGACUACCUUCAAACUCCAUGUCAAUCAGACUAGCGUUUAACAUAGUAUAGCGGAACUUUGCCAUGGCAGCUGCUCCUUUAGGAGGGCCUCCUGACUUGUCAUUCGACCACAUAACCUCAUUAAAGUCAUCAGCCAUAAGCCAUGGUAGAUGACAGCCUUCUGCUACAAGAUCAUUAAUCAAGGCCCAGGUAUGAUCUUUGUUUCUUCUAGCAGCAAUGUAACGUCCCAAACCUAAAUUUACCGGUUUACUAGUCUUUCGAUCGGUAAACGACAUUCACAUUUACUUUUGACUUCGUUUCGAUCUUUUAGGGGCCCUAAAAGUUGAUUUUUUGUUCGUAUCAAAAUUUGAGAAAACUUUCUUAAUGAAAGUCGUAGGAGACGUUAAACCGAGCAAGUGCAUAUGUGAUAUGUAAAAAUCGGAGUUCGUAUACGAAAGUUAUAAGUGAAAAUGUAAAGUUACUAUUCAUGAUAAUUUCCUAUAUAUGGAAAGUUACUGUGGUAGCUUCCAUUUUAAGAAAUUACCCUAGGUGACUUUCUCUCUCCCCGACCCGGCCACUGUUGCCGGCCGUUUCUUCUCCGUCUGGCGACGGAUUUGGACGUCGCAGGUGCCUAUGGAACCCUCUCUUCCUCCUCUCCACAUCUAUGGUCCUUUGGUGGUGUGAUUUGGGCCGUAGUAGGCGCAGCAAGGCGGUGAUCUUGGUGGCCAUUUCGGGUCUCCGGCGAUUUCUCGUUUUCUGGCCGUCCCACCACCCAUAACAUGGAGUCCUUGUCUUCGUGGUUCGACCCAUGCCCGUGGGUAAGCUCAAUUUUGCCGGAUUACGGAAAAUCAAUGACGAGAAGCAUCCCGCGGAUUUGAGGACGACGUAUCGAGCUACUGCUUGACGAAGGAAACCAUUUGGUGGUCGCCUAAACAAUACUGUGAGUGGACAUUUUAUUUUAAAUAAGGAUUAAAUUCUGCUUACUACCCUGUACUUUCAUGGGUUCGUCAGUUCAGUCCCUAAACUUCUAAUUUAAUCAGAAAGGUCCUUGCACUCUCCAAUUUCAUCAAAUUGAUCCAAUCCGUCACCACUCCGUCAAUUUUUACUAUUAAAAUGCUGACGUGGGACUUCUCAUAGGGAAAAUUCCCAAACUACCCAUCGCUAGGCAGCCCGCCGACGCGUUAAUGUUGUGAAUGCAGAUGGGUAGUUUGGGAAUUUUCAGCAAAAAUUGACGGAGUGGUGACAAAUUAGAUCGAUUUGAUGAAAUUGGAGAGUACAAGGACUUUUCUGAUUAAAUUACAAAUGCAGGGACUGAACUGAUGAACCCUUGAAAGUACAGGGUAGUAAGCAGAAUUUUUUCCUUUAAAUAAUUAUUCAUGCAGUAUUUGAUUUAUUUUAUUAUGUUCCAGUUGAGAUUUAAUAUGUGAUUUCACGAUAUACUGAUUUCCUUUAAUUGUUGAUUUAUCGAAACUUUCUAAAUUAUAUUUAGUGGCAUGCUGAUAAUUUUUGAGUAUUUGAUUUAUCAGGAUUUAUGAAAUAUGCUUAUGGUGAUUAUUGAGGAUUUAUGGAAUUAAUAUUGAGUUUUCUUUUUCGGAAGCAUUUAUUGAUUUUUGAGUUAUGAGAAGUAUUGAGAAGUGGUUUUCGAAAAGUAGUUGAUUGAGAAAAUAUUAUGAGAAUUAAGAAUUUUCAAGGAUUAUUGAGAUAUUGAGUGAUUUAUCAAGAUUUCUUGAUUUAUGCUUUCGACGAUUUACAGAUGAUUUAUUUAAUUAGUAUCGGGUUUCUUUCUGAAAACAAUUAUUUGAAAGAGUUUGAUUCCAGUUAUUGAGGAGGUAAAUAAGUCAACACAUGCAUGCAUUACCUGGUCGGCAGUCCCCUCCAGAAUAUUCCUGUCGACGGUUCCCUCCGAUGCGUCAUCUGGUCGGCAACCCCCUCUAGAUGGCAUGAGGCAGUUAGUCGGCAGUCCCCUCUAACCAUCACCUCCUCGUCCAGUCGGUAGUCCCCUCCAGGUGGCAUGAGAUGACUAGUCGGCAGUCCCCUCUAGUCAUUGCCUAUUUGAGAUAAGAAUAAUUUAAUGAGAUUUGAGAUUUGAGAUUUGAGAUUUCGAGAUGUUCGACAUUAUAUGAUUGAAAGUUUAAUAAAGAAGAUGAUUAAGAGUGUUUUCAAGAUUUUUACUGCAUGCGAGGUUUUAGAGAGUAACUUGCGAAAGCAUUAAGUUUCACUUGUUCAUUCAAAAUUACUUUUUUUUUUUGUCCACUCACUCUAACGAUUUUCAAAUGCUUUUCCCCUGGGCUCUUCGGUUUCAAAUGCCCAGUUUUGCAGGCCAGAUUAGCUUGAGGCAUAGAUGUCAUAGCUUCCGCAUUAUAAAAAGUAUCGGUCAUUUAUCUUGUAUUCUAUCCUCUUGUACACCAUGUCAUUAGAUUGCUCUGAUAAUCCAUGAAAUUAAUAUUAUUAAGUUCAGAAUUGUUUUGUGAAAUUGGAGAUGUUGUGAUUUUAGGGAGCAUGGUGGCUCUAAAAGAAUAGGGUGGGAUUGUUUGGAAGUGUUUUGUUUUUCUACAGGUUUUUAGGUAGUCCGUUUUAAAAGAGGUCUCGCCAAAUUUUUGGUAGAAUUUCUUCUAAGAUGGACUCCGCAUGGCCACUUCGGAUUUCAGGGUGAAAUUUGGGGCGAGUCCUGUCAGGCAAAGCUACAUAUGCCAGUUAAAUGCCAAGUUGCUUCUCCUGGCCUAUUGAUUUCUGCAUCAAUGUGAUGCAAAGAGUGAGUUUGUAGGUUCACAUGAAUAUCAUCAUUCCAUGUGAUCGCUAGCCCCUGUGAAUCCUCUUCGUGAUCAACACAGAAACUUCUUUUAAAUCCCUAAAGGUUUGUGAGAGAGUCAGUCAAACCCUUGCAGGCUAGGGUUUUCGGAAAAAAUAUAAGGGAGUCCUGUCAGGCAAAGCUACAUAUGCCAGUUAAAUGCCAAGUUGCUUCUCCUGGCCUAUUGAUUUCUGCAUCAAUGUGAUGCGAAGAGUGAGUUCGUAGGUUCACAUGAAUAUCAUCAUUCCAUGUGAUCGCUAGCCCCUGUGAAUCCUCUUCGUGAUCAACACAGAAACUUCUUUUAAAUCCCUAAAGGUUUGUGAGAGAGUCAGUCAAACCCUUGCAGGCUAGGGUUUUCGGAAAAAAUAUAAGGCAUGGUUUCUUUGCUUGAACAAGAUUGAUGAGAGCUCUUUGUGUUUUUGUGUUUAUAAUUCCUCGACAAUUCCACACUAGAACACUACCCUGUAGCAUGGUUGAAGAGGAUGGUGCCACCACAAGGCGCAGUGGUUUACAGCGUCGCACAACAUAAGGUUCUGACAGCGCUUAGGGUUUUUCCAGCUAGUAUAAUUGAGAAAAUUUUAUUUACUUAAUUUGUUUCUGUCAUAUAUUUAUCUUCCAUCUUGGUCCUUGUUUAAGGAACAUAUUUGGUUCUCUCUUCUUCUUUUUUGUUUGUUUUGUGUUUGGCAUAGAAUAAUUAUGGGUCCUCUUGUACAAGAGCAUUUCUUGUAAACAUAGAUAGUAGUCAACUGUUGGAUGAUUGUUUCAGAAAACAGCUUUUGAUUGAUAGAAUUUUAGUUGGGUGUGCUUUUGAGAGUGCUAAAGGGCCGCAAUGGAUGGUAGCAUGGGUAUGUUAACUAGUUAUGGGUUAUGGGCUUGUUAACAUAGGUUGUGUCAAUUUCUUGGCAAGUACUUGUGGUUGACUACUUGAGUAUGCUUUUUAGUCUCCCUAUGUAGUACCUAUUUUGCUCUAUUGAAGGAAUUGUCUCUUGUUUCUUGUCUUGU